AUUGUAGCUUGCUACAUAACCUAGCGGCGGACGGGUGAGAAAAGCUGAGGAAUCUGCCUAUUAGUGGGGGACAACAUUCCGAAAGGAAUGCUAAUACCGCAUACGUCCUACGGGAGAAAGCAGGGGACCUUCGGGCCUUGCGCUAAUAGAUGAGCCUAAGUCGGAUUAGCUAGUUGGUGGGGUAAAGGCCUACCAAGGCGACGAUCUGUAGCGGGUCUGAGAGGAUGAUCCGCCACACUGGGACUGAGACACGGCCCAGACUCCUACGGGAGGCAGCAGUGGGGAAUAUUGGACAAUGGGCGGAAGCCUGAUCCAGCCAUGCCGCGUGUGUGAAGAAGGCCUUUUGGUUGUAAAGCACUUUAAGCGAGGAGGAGGCUACUAGUAUUAAUACUACUGGAUAGUGGACGUUACUCGCAUAAUAAGCACCGGCUAACUCUGUGCCAGCAGCCGCGGUAAUACAGAGGGUGCGAGCGUUAAUCGGAUUUACUGGGCGUAAAAGCGUGCGUAGGCGGCUGAUUAAGUCG
rnacentral:rRNA from 1 species